rnacentral:rRNA from 1 species
AACCUUUACACUGCACGCCAGUGCGAUAGGGGGACACCGAGUGCGAGGGCAUAGAGCCCUCGCUUUUGUAGACCGUAAGGAGGUCUACGAAUAAGGGCUGGGCAAGACCGGUGCCAGCCGCCGCGGUAACACCGGCAGCCCGAGUGAUGGCCGAUAUUAUUGGGCCUAAAGCGUCCGUAGCUGGCCGCACAAGUCCGUCGGGAAAUCCACUCGCUUAACGAGUGGGCGUCCGGCGGAAACUGUGCGGCUUGGGACCGGAAGACCUGAGGGGUACGUCCGGGGUAGGAGUGAAAUCCCGUAAUCCUGGACGGACCACCGAUGGCGAAAGCACCUCGGAAGGACGGAUCCGACAGUGAGGGACGAAAGCUAGGGUCUCGAACCGGAUUAGAUACCCGGGUAGUCCUAGCCGUAAACGAUGCUCGCUAGGUGUGGCGCAGGCUACGAGCCUGCGCUGUGCCGUAGGGAAGCCGUGAAGCGAGCCGCUUGGGAAGUACGUCUGCAAGGAUGAAACUUAA